rnacentral:rRNA from 1 species
AACACAUGCAAGUCGAACGCUCCUAGCAAUAGGGAGUGGCAGACGGGUGAGUAACGCGUGGGAACAUACCCUUUGGUUCGGAAUAACUCGGCGAAAGCCGUGCUAAUACCGGAUAAGCCCUUACGGGGAAAGAUUUAUCGCCGAAGGAUUGGCCCGCGUCCGAUUAGCUAGUUGGUGAGGUAAUGGCUCACCAAGGCGACGAUCGGUAGCUGGUCUGAGAGGAUGAUCAGCCACACUGGGACUGAGACACGGCCCAGACUCCUACGGGAGGCAGCAGUGGGGAAUAUUGGACAAUGGGCGCAAGCCUGAUCCAGCCAUGCCGCGUGAGUGAUGGAGGCCUUAGGGUUGUAAAGCUCUUUCGACGGGGACGAUAAUGACGGUACCCGUAGAAGAAG